AAGGGAGACCUAAUUCAGGUAGGAGACGAAAAAAUAGUAGUCCCAACCAAGAAUCAAUCCCAAAAGGUCGGAGCGAGGCGAAAUUGGCUUUCAAACUAGGUUCUGGGUUCAAACAAGACCUGAAUCAGGAACAAGGGCUAUUAGCUCAGGUGGUUAGAGCGCACCCCUGAUAAGGGUGAGGUCCCUGGUUCGAGUCCAGGAUGGCCCACCUGCACAGGUGGCAAAAACAAAGAAGAGAAGCUCCGAAUCAGCACCUUAUCUUAUCUAUAGAUAAGAGAGAAUGCUGGCUCUGAGUUCAGAGUCCAGAGGAACCUUGAAAACUGCAUAGAGCUAGGUGAAAAAGCCAAAAAAGACGACCGCAA
rnacentral:tRNA from 1 species